AUAUAUUUUUGCAAUUUAGCUGCGGCACUUUAUGGCUUUUUGGCAGCACAAAUCAUAUUAAGUGAAAUGUGCGCCACGCGAAGCGAGUGGGUUGAGCAUUUAAUUGGUUUCAAAUUUGAAGAGCAUUCCCUCUCCUUUACAGUCCGCGCCAUAAUUUAUUGCUGUUAUUGCAUAAGUUAGGGCAUUAAAUGUUAGUUUAUGAUAUUGUAACGAUUAAGUAGGCUGACUAUUGUUGUCUGCGCUUCUAUACCUUAUAUUUUCCGUUUACCUAUUUGCCCAAUUUCUCUUACAACUGAUUAUCAGCUGUUUGCUAUGAAGAGGUGGUCACACUAAACGCGCAGUGAAUGGACAAUUCAAGAUUUUGAACACACAACCAAACAAAUAUAUCUGCUAAUGAAAACUGAAAUUUAAUAUAACUGCAUGCAAAAUUAAAGAUUAAUAAAAAUUGCAUGAUACCUAAAAAUAUUCAUACUAUGGGCAUAUACCGACGUCGAAGCAUCCUCAUGAGGGUCCUCUUGAUUCCUUCCCUAACUGCAUUGGGCGCGUUAGGGGUCAAUAGUUUUAGCUACACUUCUAUCUGUGACAACAAAGAAUGCAAUUUUCCGGAAAAGGCUCUUUGUGCGAUUGAGGCUUCAUCUAAGGUAUUAAGAGGUAGUACCUUUAUGAACUUUGCAGGAAAAAGGAAUUAAAUUUGCCACCAUACGACAUGGUUUUCAACGAGGCAUGCCCUACUCCUUUCCCACUUAUAGAGCUGAAGUAUUCUCGCGACUGAAAAUGUGAUAUUUAGAAGCUGUUCUGAUCGGAUUUUAUAUCAUCAACGGAAGAAAAACCUAAAUAGCGAUAUGUAAAUAAUUAUUUGAUUACAUAGGAGUUUGGAAAUAUGGGAGUUGUGUCCCUAAAUAUAGUACAAAUAAAGAUACGGAUAAUAUUGGAAAC